rnacentral:rRNA from 1 species
GGACGAACGCUGGCGGCGUGCCUAAUACAUGCAAGUAGAACGCACAGUUUAUACCGUAGCUUGCUACACCAUAGACUGUGAGUUGCGAACGGGUGAGUAACGCGUAGGUAACCUGCCUGGUAGCGGGGGAUAACUAUUGGAAACGAUAGCUAAUACCGCAUAAUAUUAAUUAUUGCAUGAUAAUUAAUUGAAAGGUGCAAUUGCACCACUACCAGAUGGACCUGCGUUGUAUUAGCUAGUAGGUGAGGUAACGGCUCACCUAGGCGACGAUACAUAGCCGACCUGAGAGGGUGAUCGGCCACACUGGGACUGAGACACGGCCCAGACUCCUACGGGAGGCAGCAGUAGGGAAUCUUCGGCAAUGGACGAAAGUCUGACCGAGCAACGCCGCGUGAGUGAAGAAGGGUUUCGGAUCGUAAAGCUCUGUUGUAAGAGAAGAACGGGUGUGAGAGUGGAAAGUUCACACUGUGACGGUAUCUUACCAGAAAGGGACGGCUAACUACGUG